GACGAACCGUGCGAACGUUAUUCGGAAUCACUGGGCUUAAAGGGCGCGUAGGUGGUUGAUCAAGUCUGGGGUGAAAUCUUUCGGCUUAACCGGAAAAGUGCCUUGGAUACUGAUCAGCUGGAGGGAGGUAGGGGCAGUUGGAACUUCCAGUAGAGCGGUGAAAUGCGUUGAUAUUGGAAGGAACGCCGGUGGCGAAAGCGAACUGCUGGACCUCUUCUGACACUGAGGCGCGAAAGCUAGGGGAGCGGAUGGG
rnacentral:rRNA from 1 species